rnacentral:rRNA from 1 species
CGAGCGGCAGCACGGGGAGCUUGCUCCCUGGUGGCGAGCGGCGGACGGGUGAGUAAUGCAUAGGAAUCUGCCCGGUAGUGGGGGAUAACGUGGGGAAACCCACGCUAAUACCGCAUACGUCCUACGGGAGAAAGCGGAGGAUCUUCGGACUUCGCGCUAUCGGAUGAGCCUAUGUCGGAUUAGCUAGUUGGUAAGGUAACGGCUUACCAAGGCAACGAUCCGUAGCUGGUCUGAGAGGAUGAUCAGCCACACUGGGACUGAGACACGGCCCAGACUCCUACGGGAGGCAGCAGUGGGGAAUAUUGGACAAUGGGCGAAAGCCUGAUCCAGCCAUGCCGCGUGUGUGAAGAAGGCUUUCGGGUUGUAAAGCACUUUCAGCGAGGAAGAAAGCCUCUGGGUUAAUACCCCAGAGGAAGGACAUCACUCGCAAAAGAAGCACCGGCUAACUCCGUGCCAGCAGCCGCGGUAAUACGGAGGGUGCGAGCGUUAAUCGGAAUUACUGGGCGUAAAGCGCGCGUAGGUGGCUUGGCACGCCGGUUGUGAAAGCCCCGGGCUCAACCUGGGAACUGCAUCCGGAACGGCCAGGCUAGAGUGCAGGAGAGGAAGGUAGAAUUCCCGGUGUAGCGGUGAAAUGCGUAGAGAUCGGGAGGAAUACCAGUGGCGAAGGCGGCCUUCUGGCCUGACACUGACACUGAGGUGCGAAAGCGUGGGUAGCAAACAGGAUUAGAUACCCUGGUAGUCCACGCCGUAAACGAUGUCGACUAGCCGUUGGGACCUUUAAGGACUUAGUGGCGCAGUUAACGCGAU